rnacentral:lncRNA from 1 species
GUGCUCACAAGUGACAGACAGUGUGUUGGCUGAGUCCUGUGCAGUGCUGCAGAGCCUCGGGACACAAGGCACCGCCUGCGUCUCAUCUGUUUGGGCUGCUAAAACAAAAACCAACUGGCUGGUCGUGUCCCAGUGGCCACCUGAGAGGCGGUGGUCGAAGAGCGCACAGGGGCGGUGCGCUGGACGGCGGAGCCAUCCAGUCAGAAGUCCUUCAGGGCCUCGGCCGGAAGCCAUGACAGACAGACAGGCGAUGGGAGAAACAGGAGCUCCUGGGAAGAAGCUAAAGGGAAGACUUCCAUCUCUGUCUUGUUCGGCCCAGGCUGCAAGCUCGCUGCUCAGUGGCCCCUGAUCCAGAAGCAAUGCGGGGAGCAGCUGUGAUCUGCUAGCCAUGGGCAGGUGUCCUAGAACACAGGCCAUCUUGCCUGGUGGAGAUGGCAAGAGGACGGGCUCUUAGCUGGCUCUUCACUGCUGACCAUCUUCCACAGACACUGCACUUGCAUUGAGCUCAGCCUUCACGACAGCCCUGCCACACGGUUUUCUGCCUCUAUCCAUGGUAAAGACAUUGCAAC